rnacentral:lncRNA from 1 species
AUGGCCAACAGCCUCGGAAUUGCCUUUAUUGCCAGCCCGGCAUUGUUACUGGUGACAGCUAAUGAGGGCAGACAGACUUCGCACCGCGCCUUGCGCCGGCCCCGCCGGGGCUGCCCCUGGUUACCCUGGCUGUGCCCCCCAACCAUCCCAGCUCUGCCCCUGGUUACCCUGGCUGUGCCCCCCAACCAUCCCAGCUCUGCCCCUGGUUACCCUGGCUGUGCCCCCCAACCAUCCCAGCUCUGCCCCUGGUUACCCUGGCUGUGCCCCCCAACCAUCCCAGCUCUGCCCCUGGUUACCCUGGCUGUGCCCCCCAACCAUCCCAGCUCUGCCCCUGGUUACCCUGGCUGUGCCCCCCAACCAUCCCAGCUCUGCCCCUGGUUACCCUGGCUGUGCCCCCCAACCAUCCCAGCUCUGCCCCUGGUUACCCUGGCUGUGCCCCCCAACCAUCCCAGCUCUGCCCCUGGUUACCCUGGCUGUGCCCCCCAACCAUCCCAGCUCUGCCCCUGGUUACCCUGGCUGUGCCCCCCAACCAUCCCAGCUCUGCCCCUGGUUACCCUGGCUGUGCCCCUGGUUAUCCAGGCUGUGCCCAUGGGUUACCCUGGCUGUGCCCCCCAACCAUCCCAGCUCUGCCCCUGGUUACCCUGGCUGUGCCCCCCAACCAUCCCAGCUCUGCCCCUGGUUACCCUGGCUGUGCCCCCCAACCAUCCCAGCUCUGCCCCUGGUUACCCUGGCUGUGCCCCCCAACCAUCCCAGCUCUGCCCCUGGUUACCCUGGCUGUGCCCCCCAACCAUCCCAGCUCUGCCCCUGGUUACCCUGGCUGUGCCCCCCAACCAUCCCAGCUCUGCCCCUGGUUACCCUGGCUGUGCCCCCCAACCAUCCCAGCUCUGCCCCUGGUUACCCUGGCUGUGCCCCCCCCCCCCCCCCCCCCCCCCCCCCCCCCCCCCCCCCCCCCCCCCCCCCCCCCCCCCCCCCCCCCCCCCCCCCCCCCCCCCCCCCCCCCCCCCCCCCCCCCCCCCCCCCCCCCCCCCCCCCCCCCCCCCCCCCCCCCCCCCCCCCCCCCCCCCCCCCCCCCCCCCCCCCCCCCCCCCCCCCCCCCCCCCCCCCCCCCCCCCCCCCCCCCCCCCCCCCCCCCCCCCCCCCCCCCCCCCCCCCCCCCCCCCCCCCCCCCCCCCCCCAGCCCAUCCCCAUGAGUCUGCAGCCAUGAGCACCCAGAGAUCCCCAAAUUGUCUCACUGAACUCUACAGAAUACCCCACAGGACAUUUUUUCAGGGGCAGGGGGAUGAGGUAGGGAUGAAGAAGCUGGAGAGAACGGGGUGCAAUAAACCAUUUAUUCCUACAAAAACCGCUGUUAAAAUCCCAAGCGCUGCAGCACAGACACUGCUGAAUGUUCCUGGCCUCAGGUCCAGCAGUAAUGAUUUUUUUUUUGGCUUUUUUUUUUUUUUUUUUUAG